rnacentral:piRNA from 1 species
UGGCUAUGCUGUACCCAAGGCCAAAGCC